UACAGACCAAGUUAGUAAGAGCUAUUGGUGGAUGCCUUGGCAUUGAAAGGCGAUGAAGGAUGCGUUUACCUGCAUUAAUCUUCGGCGAGCUGGUAUAAAGCUAUGACCCGGAGGUUUCCGAAUGGGAAAACCCGAUAGAUUAAUAGUCUAUCAUUAUACGCUGAAUCCAUAGGCGUAUAAGGCGAAACCUACUGAACUGAAACAUCUUAGUAAGUAGAGGAAAAGAAAUCAAAGAGAUUCCCUGUGUAGCGGCGAGCGAAAGGGGAACAGUCUAAACCAUAUUUUUAAUAUGGGGUUGUAGGGUCGAUAACGUGAGAUCUUAAGUUUUAGUUGAAUAUUUCUGGAAAGUUGAACGAUACAGGGUGAUGGUCCCGUAAACGAAAAAACAAAAGACUCUAUUCGAUUCCUGAGUAGAACUAGACACGUGAAACCUAGUUUGAAUCUGGGGAGACCACUCUCCAAGACUAAAUACUAAUCAAUGACCUAUAGUGAACCAGUACUGUAAAGGAAAGGUGAAAAGAACCCUUGUUAAGGGAGUGAAAUAGAACCUGAAACCAGUAGCUUAUAAGCGGUCGAAGACCUAUAACUCUUCGGAGUGAUGGUUGACGGCGUGCCUUUU
rnacentral:rRNA from 1 species